GAUGAACGCUGGCGGCGUGCCUAAUACAUGCAAGUCGAGCGAACAGACGAGGAGCUUGCUCCUCUGACGUUAGCGGCGGACGGGUGAGUAACACGUGGAUGACCUACCUAUAAGACUGGGAUAACUUCGGGAAACCGGAGCUAAUACCGGAUAAUAUAUUGAACCGCAUGGUUCAAUAGUGAAAGACGGUUUUGCUGUCACUUAUAGAUGGAUCCGCGCCGCAUUAGCUAGUUGGUAAGGUAACGGCUUACCAAGGCAACGAUGCGUAGCCGACCUGAGAGGGUGAUCGGCCACACUGGAACUGAGACACGGUCCAGACUCCUACGGGAGGCAGCAGUAGGGAAUCUUCCGCAAUGGGCGAAAGCCUGACGGAGCAACGCCGCGUGAGUGAUGAAGGUCUUCGGAUCGUAAAACUCUGUUAUUAGGGAAGAACAAAUGUGUAAGUAACUAUGCACGUCUUGACGGUACCUAAUCAGAAAGCUACGGCUAACUACGUG
rnacentral:rRNA from 1 species